CUUUUAUGCUUGGAACUACAAAGGCUAGACCAGACAACAAAGAAUUUGAGCUUGUUAUCACAACUGCACCAAUACCAGAUUUAAAUGAUAAGCUAAUUGUAUUCGGACGGGUCAUCAAAGGAGAGGAAGUGGUACAGAGUAAAUUUGGAGAAGCACAAGCCAAAAAGCAAAGCAGUGCUGCAUAUAAAUCCAAAUUUGAUAGAAGUAGGAGACAGAGUUAUCACCAAAGAAAAACCAAAGGAUCCAAUUCCAGAAAUCAAGUGGGGUGUAUAGAUGUCGCGGUUGAUCACUCGUCGUCGGAGUGUGACCAAUGAGCCUCCUGCAUUAUCAACAUCUACUGCUCCAGGCGUGAGUGCUCCAUUGAUUGGGGAGCCUACACCCCUUACUGAGGCUACUCCUAUGGCGUCCCAGGUGCCCGUCUCAUCGACAUCAUCAGUGUCAGUUCAGCCGCUUAGUGCACGACGGCCUCACCGACGCCGCCGCGAGCCGGAGCCUUCUGAUCACACUUCCUCAGCAUCCAGAGUCGAGGGUGAGGCCUCCCAGCCAGGUAGUUUUUUCUAAUUCUCGAUCACUACGUUGUAUUUUUCUUUUAUCAUUUUAAAAUUAUUAUUUUUAUGAUGGUGAAAAUUUGCUGGAAUGUGACAAUGUGAUGGGGGUUGUGAAUUACUAUUUUAAGGUUUUGGGAAAUGCUAUACUAUUAGGGGAGGUUAUG